rnacentral:rRNA from 1 species
ACGGAAGGCAGCAGUGAGGAAUAUUGGUCAAUGGACGGAAGUCUGAACCAGCCAAGUCGCGUGAAGGAUGAAGGUAUUAUGUAUUGUAAACUUCUUUAGCAGUGGAGUAAUAAGGGGAUCGCGAUCCCUGAUGCAAGUACACUGAGAAUAAGGAUCGGCUAACUCCGUGCCAGCAGCCGCGGUAAUACGGAGGAUCCGAGCGUUAUCCGGAUUUAUUGGGUUUAAAGGGUGCGCAGGCGGCUUUUUAAGUCAGUGGUUAAAUCGUGACGCUCAACGUCAUCACGCCAUUGAUACUGGAGAGCUUGAUUGCGGUCGAGGUUUGCGGAAUUCGUUGUGUAGCGGUGAGAUGCAUAGAUAUGACGAAGAACACCGAUUGCGUAGGCGGCAGACCAGGCCGUAAAUGACGCUCAUGCACGAAAGUGCGGGGAUCGAACAGGAUUAGAUACCCUGGUA